rnacentral:rRNA from 1 species
CGUGUAGGUGGUUUUGUAAGUCGAAUGUGAAAUCUCACGGCUCAACCGUGAAAUUGCGUUCGAAACUACAUAACUUGAGUUAGGGAGAGGUGUACGGAAUUCCUGGUGUAGCGGUGGAAUGCGUAGAUAUCAGGAAGAACACCAAUGGCGAAGGCAGUACACUAGCCUGUAACUGACACUGAGGCGCGAAAGCGUGGGGAGCAAACAGGAUUAGAUACCCUGGUAGUCC